GGAGGAUCCAAGCGUUAUCCGGAAUCAUUGGGUUUAAAGGGUCCGUAGGCGGUUUAGUAAGUCAGUGGUGAAAGCCCAUCGCUCAACGGUGGAACGGCCAUUGAUACUGCUAGACUUGAAUUAUUAGGAAGUAACUAGAAUAUGUAGUGUAGCGGUGAAAUGCUUAGAGAUUACAUGGAAUACCAAUUGCGAAGGCAGGUUACUACUAAUGGAUUGACGCUGAUGGACGAAAGCGUGGGUAGCGAACAGGAUUAGAUACCCUGGUAGUCCACGCCGUAAACGAUGGAUACUAGCUGUUGGAAGCAAUUUCAGUGGCUAAGCGAAAGUGAUAAGUAUCCCACCUGGGGAGUACGUUCGCAAGAAUG
rnacentral:rRNA from 1 species